UAAAUUUAUGUAUGUAUAAAGAAGCUUAUAAGACGUACUUAUAUAAUUUUUAAAAAUAAUUAAAUCUAUUAUAAGGAAAAUUGUUGAGUAUUUAUAGUCGAUUCUUAUUUUAAAAUUGUCUUAAGCAAUGUUUUAAGAUACUAAUCCACUAUUGUGAUUGGUUUAUGAUUUUUGAUCGCCAUAAGACAAUUUUUAAGAAAGUUUUAAAAAUAAGAAUAAAUUAUAAAUACCAACAAAUUGUACUAAUAGAUCAAAUCAUAUCUAACUAUACCUUGUAAGUCUCUUUGAAACUUAAUAAAUUUAUACACGUUCUAAAAAACGUGUAACAACUUCUACCGAUUGCAUGAAAAUAUGUAACUCUCUCAUAGUUCUAACAAACUUGUUGUAAAGAUAUGAUACAUCCGGCAAAAAAUUUAUCUUUUUAAAAAGUUUUAACAGUUUGUACGUGUGCCUCUUGAAAUUGCCAUAGAGAUUGAGAUCGAUGACGCCCAAUUGCCGCCGAUAAAGUAUCUCGCACUUGUCUGGAAAUGAAGUUUCGAUGAACGUCGUCACAUUUCGAAGCGGGACCGGCACGUUCGAAGAGCUCGCAUGAGGUGGAUCCUGAAACGUGUUUGCCUUGCUCGCGGAAGCAGAAAGCGAGGUUAAGGCGACGGGGAAUGGAGGUCACGUUUUCUCGUGCGAAGUAAAAUAUUGACAUCCUUCACCUAAGGUUAAGCGAUACUGAUCGUCAACAGUGUACCACAUCGUCGUUGAUCGAUCGCUUUAAUCCUCCAAGCCGUCGACGAAGGGAUUAAAUCAAGGCGCGACUAAUUACAUGGGGGGAAAUGUCAAAUAUUGUCAGCGACUUGCAUAUUGUUUGGCGAUGUGUACCGAUAUUAAAUUCUUCUAACAGCCGUUUCCAUCUACGCGCGAAUUCUCCGGAUUAUUUACAUUCCCGUUAAGUCCUGCUGCCAUGGUUUUGCCGUUUAUUCCCUUACUACCGGACGGAAUACUCGGUCCCUCCAGUUUCGUGAGGGAUUCUUCGGAAUUUCGAAAGACUUAAGAGCGAUCUUCCUCUAUGCUUAGCAUCGCGAUUGCCACCAAAGAAAGAAUUCCGGCAAAGUGCGGGGAAAUUAUUUAAAACUGUGAAGAAUCAUAAUUCAAUGCAAACUAAUAAUAUUUAUAUAUAACUAUAAUAUGAAAAUAAUGUAAUAAUUGCAUCCUUAAAAUAAUUAUGGUACAUGGAAAAAAAUUUAAUUGUAUUAAUCAGAAGUCUGGACGUAUAAAUUAGACCAUCUGGUGAAAAAUAAACAAUUCAAACUUUUAAUUAAAUUAACCAAACAAACGUUUGGUAACGCGUUUCUGGUAAAGACAAACAACCAAAGUUGGGUUUUACAUAUUCUGGUGUAGGUAAUCAAAUAAAUCUAAUUACAUUCUAGUGAAACUAUACUUCAUUAUAAGAUAAUUGUAAAUUUAAUAUUAUAAUAAUUAUAAUAACCAAAAAUGUUAUUAAUUUUUGCCAAAUGUACGUUCUUUGAACCAUGCUAUGUAGUUAAAAUAACCAGACAGAUAUUACAUAUAUUAGAUAUUGUAACGAGAUGAGUAAUAGUCAAACUUCAAUCAUUGUUAGACUUAAAUAUUCCUUCCGUGUAAAAAUUAUAAUCAUGUUUCACGAAUUACGUUAUAAUAGCAUAAUUCAUUCUGUAAUAAUUUUCUGUGAUAAAUACUGAAUUAUCCAGAUUUCUGGAAGAGGAAUUAAUAAAUUAUGUUGGAUGUUUUUAUCAAAAUCGAUGGGACAAAAAUAUAUAUGCCAUUAAUUAUGGACGGAAUUGAUGAAGCGUCACUGUCAUUCGUCAGGCUUUAAGCGAGCUUCCUGCCAUUUAUUCCAUCAAUUUGAUGUCAGAAAUAAAUCGCUCGAUCAUGCCUAAUUGCAACGGAUGCCCAUAAAUUUUUCGCACGUUUUUCGCGUAAUCUUGCCCCGUUACCAUGUGGCUCGGCCACAUUUUUCAAUUAAAUUCGUCGUGCAAAUUGGCUUCUACAGGCGCCUUCGCCUCAGACGUCAGAAACCUUUAUUACUUAGUUAAUAACAUAAUGAUCUAAAUUCGUCGACUAAUAAAAAAUUAUUAUAAAUGGUAUUUUUUCUAAAUCAUAAAAAUUAUUAAAUGCUGUAUAUAGUAUUUCAUGUGAAAAUUGUCGAUUUUAUUUACGUGUAUCGUGUAUGUAUUAUUUUAAAUUGUCCAAACAAAAUCUUAUUUGUUAUUAUAAUGAUUGUGUCUUAUUGCAUUUAUCAUAAAAUUGACAAUUUAUUUCACCUCCAAAACCGAUAUUCUUUUCUUUCAUAGGUCGCGCUUGUUUUCUCAUAACGACCGCAAUUUAGUUUUAUGUGAGAAGAGUAAUCGUACUUUAAUGGCUGUAAUAAAUUAAUCAUGUUAAUGACAGUAGAGAGAAUAAAGAGAUAUUGCAAGGAUUAAACAAUUUCCCAAAGUCGGGGUCAUUUUUCUAUAAGUUUGAAGGUCCAUUAGAGAUGUUUCAACUCUUUCGUGGCGCAAAAUAAAAAAAAACGGUUAUUACCAAUUCUUUAUUUAUUUAACGCGAGCUGAAAAUGUUUAGCUAAAUAUGCAAUUGAUACAUUGUAAAUAUAAAUGUUUGAUUUGCGACAAAUCUUUAAAAUGCUUUGUUAAAUAUUUCGCGGUUUGCUUUUUUUUAUAGAGAAGACAUUAGAUAGCGCUAUAAAAUUAUUAAUCGUUUUUGAAAAGCGGAAUUAAUUUGUAACGCUAUAAUUCUGCAUGUUGCCAACGUCAUAUAAUUACUUUACAGACUCAGUUCCAUCCGUUUAUCACCGCGAUGGAAUAUUUCAAUUAACUUCGGUAUUUCGUAACUCUCUGUCAAGCCGGCAUUAUUAUUUUAAUUAGCAUUUACGCAGGCGCGAGAGUCGCGCAGAAGUCUGACGUUAAUAGCGAACUGCUGACUAGGUAGCAAGCGGCUUCCACUUAAAUACGGCGUAAUCUCGCAUUACCAUAAUCUCUUCUCAGUCGCGAAGAUCUCUAUACUCAAUUUAUUUGCAUCGGGCGAACGUAUAUUCUGCAAAGGUCUACGUGAUAUCACGAAGGUGAAUCUCAGCGACGAACACGCUCUUUCAUGCCUGCGAAAUGAAGAAUAAUCGUCGGGACAUGUUGCGAAUUUCGAUGCAAGUGUGAAUAUUAUUCGUUAGAAUUUACUUCAGAUGUUAAAAUUUGAUCGGAUUGUCCGUGAUAGUUGUGCAGUAUUUAAUCACGUAACGGUAUUAAAGGUAAGAGAACAUUACAAAAAUAAGAAUAAAAUAAUGGGACAUUAUUUUAUAAAGUAAUAUUUUGUUUUCAUCUUAUUAUAUGUGUGUGUUUUAUAUGUAUAUAAAAUUUUCUAUAAAAUACAAAUGUCACCUCUGUAUUAAAUUAAGUAACCUUCACGUUAGGUAAAAAUUUUCAACAGAUUACGCCUUUAAUGUUAAAGGUGAAAAUUUUUAUUUUCUUUUCUUGCAGAACUUCCGUUUCUGACUUAUUUGCUUGGUUCUUUAAUCGA
rnacentral:lncRNA from 1 species